rnacentral:rRNA from 1 species
UACGUAGGUGACAAGCGUUGUCCGGAUUUACUGGGCGUAAAGAGCGCGCAGGCGGUCGAUCAAGUCGAGUGUGAAAGCCCCCGGCUCAACUGGGGAGGGUCAUUCGAUACUGAUCGACUCGAAGGCAGGAGAGGGUAGUGGAAUUCCCGGUGUAGUGGUGAAAUGCGUAGAUAUCGGGAGGAACACCAGUGGCGAAGGCGACUACCUGGCCUGUUCUUGACGCUGAGGCGCGAAAGCGUGGGGAGCGAACAGG